AACGAACGCUGGCGGCAGGCCUAACACAUGCAAGUCGAGCGCCCCGCAAGGGGAGCGGCGGACGGGUGAGUAACGCGUGGGAACGUGCCUCUUGCUACGGAAUAGCCUCGGGAAACUGGGAGUAAUACCGUAUGUGCCCUACGGGGGAAAGAUUUAUCGGCAAGAGAUCGGCCCGCGUUGGAUUAGGUAGUUGGUGGGGUAAUGGCCUACCAAGCCGACGAUCCAUAGCUGGUUUGAGAGGAUGAUCAGCCACACUGGGACUGAGACACGGCCCAGACUCCUACGGGAGGCAGCAGUGGGGAAUCUUAGACAAUGGGCGCAAGCCUGAUCUAGCCAUGCCGCGUGAGCGAUGAAGGCCUUAGGGUUGUAAAGCUCUUUCAGUGGGGAAGAUAAUGACUGUACCCACAGAAGAAGCCCCGGCUAACUCCGUGCCAGCAGCCGCGGUAAUGUCUGUACU
rnacentral:rRNA from 1 species